UUACGGUCACAUCGUGUUGAAACACCGGUUUCCGUACGAUCACCGAAGUUAAGCAACGUUGAGCCUGGUUAGUACCUAGAUGGGUGACCGCUUGGGAAUGUCAAAUGCUGUA